GUGGGCGAGGGAGCAGAUGGUGCGGCCGCUAAUCCCCCACUGCCUGAGGGGGCCGGGGACACCUGCCACAGAAGGCCAGGGUCUCAGCGCUGGAGACGCUGAGACGGGAGAGCAGAUAAUCCUGGGCCAGGCUGGCCUGAGCUUCUGUCAGCGGAAGAGAUGGAGAGACUCCGGCGGCCAUGGGGCUCACCUGCCCCUCACACCUGGCCUGUCAUCUGCUCAGGGACAGAGGCUGUUGUAGUGAGUUCCGGGGUGGAGACCGGCUGAGGGGUGCAUCCUGAGAAAGUCAGGAGACAGACCUACACAGAGCAACGACCCCGUGAGGACACAGGGAGGAGACGGCUGUCUACACGCCGAGGAGAGAAGGCCUCAGGAGGACCAGCCCUGCCCACACCUGGGUCUGAGACUCCAGCCUCCAGGGCUGGAGACGACACUUCUGUGGCUCAAGCCCGGCCGUGGUACCUGUGUGGCGGCCUGAGCAGAGGGCAGACCUGAGAGAGUCACUGUGGACGACGGGCGCGGACAGCCUGGCGGGCAGCUGGCAUUCGGCGCCUGACCCCUGCCUGGGCUGACACGCGUGUCCCUGCGGCAAGCAAGCCUGCAGGUGACCCUGCAAACAGUGGGGAGCAGUGGGCACACGCGCUCAGGUCACAGCCUCGGGACCGUCUCUUCUGACGGAACCAGGUCCCUCAGAGAAGCGUACAACUCUUGGUGUCCAGGGGACGUGACGGCACCCAGAGUGAAAGCAGAGGGUCAGGAACCCCAGAUGCCCAACACCUAGCCAAGCGAACGAAACUCACAGCAUCCAGCCCAGAGCAGAGGCCCACGGAGAGCUGGCUCGACGGGACCACGGGAAGGGGACAGUGCUGACUGGACCCCAGGCGGGCCCAACGCCAGGCAACCGGUCUCACACAGUGCUGAGAGGACACGCAAAGGCUAAGCCCCAAACGCACUGCCUGACAAGAGAGCUACUACGACACAUGGGAAGGAAAAGCCCCGGACGAGACGCGACCAAGAAACGGUCUGUGGGCUUGAAGACAGCAAGGAAAACUGAACAGAAGAAAACAGAGGCCAAAAAAAUAAAAUGAGUGUCAGCGGAUGGGGGGACAAACAGACUGGCCUAACACACGAGUACUCACGGGCCCGGAAGAAGAGAAGAGAAAGGGAGGGACAAGAAAAAUCCUGGAAAAAAUAGACCAUAACCUUUCCACGUAUGAUAAAAAGGAUAAAUACACAAAUCUAAAAAACUCAACGGAAACCAGGUGGCAAAAAUGUAAAGAAGCCUGCGUGGAGGCACCUGGUGAUCAGAGCGCGGGGGUGCUCGGCGGUGAUACGUGUGGAGUAACCGGGUGACGAGUGUCUCGUGGGACAGAACGCACGGGAAGAUGGCGAAGCAACACCGUCGAGGUCCUGGAACAAGCUGGCAACCCAGAACCCCACAUCUGGCACAAACAUCUCCCCAAAACCCAGCAAGAUAAAACGGAAGAGGAUUCAACACUGGUAGAAAUGCAUAGCAAGCAACACAAAGGGCGUCCUUCAGGCUGAAGGAGAGGAGGCCGGGGGGCCGCGUGCUGCUCGGGCCAGAUGGGGGCCGCACCCCCGCCGACCCAGGGGAAGAGAGGGCACUGGGACAGCACCCUGCAGGCGCCUGGUACGUGGUCAGACCCUGCCAGGCCUCCUCCUCGCCGCACCCCCUCACUUCUGGGAGACACACACCUGACACAGGGUGCCGUGGCAGACGGCACAGGAAGCCACCUGGCUUGGGGCAGCCGCUGGCUCACCUGGCCCCGAUGACAGGCUCGCGGGUGUCCUUGGAGGCGGAGUAGUCCAUGCCGUAGAAGUUGAGUCCCAGCAGGAUCUUGCUCCGCCACUUGGACUUGGGGUCCAGGACCUGGACGCAGGCUCGCACCCAGGACAGCGGUGCGCUGGGGCCGGCCCUGCGGGGCCAAGGAGAAGUGGGUUCAGCAGCAGGCAGAGGCCUCAGACGCCCCAGGUUGGGGUGGGGCCCACACAUGGAGUGGGAAGGACGGCAGCAGACAGGCGGGCCCCUGCAGUCAGCUGAGAGGCUCAGGUGAAGCCUGGGAUGGACAGAGGCAGCAGCACGACGCCCCCGGCCACAGGAGCACCUUCUCCUGGGCAGCGAGGCAGGCCUAGCACCACAGCCACCAUGUGGCGGCCAGGAUCGCAUAGGCGUGGAUGGAAGCCCGGGAUGGCAUUCCCAUGGGGGUGCCCGCUGCCCUGUGUCACGUGACUCCAAAAAGGAGAAGGUCGCCCAAUGCAAGGCCAAUUGCGGGCUUUGGGAAGACGAGACCGGGCCCUUCCUGUGCCUGGAACCGCGAGCUGACAAAGCAUGGCCCUGAGCAGGCUCGUGGGAAGCUGGACUUUGCCUGAGCGUCUAGGCCCCCGGUCGUGGGAGCAUCUCUGCGCCAAGCCAGAGCGCACGGGGCCCCGGGGUGCCCCCACUCACUGCUGCGCCGUGGAGUAGUCAUAGGUCAUGAGGCUGAAGCCAUCCAGCACGGGGGCCAGCUGCUCAAGCUCCUUGUGUGUGAACAUGCCCAGCUUGUUGGUCCUGCAGUGAGACGGCGUGGUCACCACACCCAGCUCGCACAGCCCCUCCAGCCCCGCCCCAGCUGACACCUGGGCUCAGCAGAGGGCACGGCAAGCCGGCCGUGUGGGCUCCCAGCUCACGCCCCUUCCUCCCACGCCAGGAAGACACCUCAGGUCACUUUCCCUGCAGAGUGGCCCAGCGCUCGGUCACAGGGGAUGGCCCGCAGCUGGGUCCUGACAGGCAGAGCCUGCUGCUGGAGGUCCAGCAGAGGCCCAGCUCCCCUCCUGCCCAGUGCACUGGAGACCGCGGUUAGCCCAGCUCCGGGAGGGCCCAUCCAUACGUGGGCACAGGUGCCCCAGGCCAGCCCCGCUUCAUCUCAGCUGCGAGCACGCUGCUAUGAGCAGAGCGCCCUCCCUCCCAAGGCCUCAGGCCUGGGGCAGGCGGGAGCCCAGGUGCCCUGUCUGCUAGACACACCUGGUCUGCUAGCCCACCCGCUCUGCCUGCAGCAGCCCCUAGGACUGCAGCCUUGUCCCAGGGGGGUCGGGGCCCUCUGCUCCCCCCAACAUGUGAGCAGAGAGAGAAUCCCUCUUCUCAGCCAGCACCUCCAAUCCCUGGGCAGGGGCAGGGGGGCCCACCGUGUGGACCUGAGCCAUGGUCACUGGUUCCACAGGGUCCAGGCAGCCCGGCCCAGGUCCGCCCGACACAUGAGGCACCUGUGGGACCUGACGACCAGCAGCACCAGCCAACGACCCCAGGACCCCAAAGCCCACCCCCGAGGGGGGUAAAGCGACCCCAGAACCCCGAAGCCCGCCCCCGAGGGGGAUAAAGCGACCCCAGGACCCCAGAGCCCGCCCCCGAGGGGGAUAAAGCGACCCCAGGACCCCGAAGCCCGCCCCCGAGGGGGUAAAGCGACCCCAGGACCCCAAAGCCCGCCCCCGAGGGGGUAA